GACUAGGGCAAAGCAGUUAGCUAGGUUACUGCUCUGUUCAGCUGUAGUGGGACUAGGGCAAAGCAGUUGGCUAGGUUACUGCUCUGUUCAGCUGUCGUGGGACUAGGGCAAAGCAGUUAGCUAGGUUACUGCUCUGUUCAGCUGUAGUGGGACUAGGGCAAAGCAGUUAGCUAGGUUACUGCUCUGUUCAGCUGUAGUGGGACUAGGGCAGAGCAGUUAGCUAGGUUACUGCUCUGUUCAGCUGUAGUGGGACUAGGGCAAAGCAGUUAGCUAGGUUACUGCUCUGUUCAGCUGUAGUGGGACUAGGGCAAAGCAGUUAGCUAGGUUACUGCUCUGUUCAGCUGUAGUGGGACUAGGGCAAAGCAGUUAGCUAGGUAAUGCUCUGUUCAGCUGUAGUGGGACUAGGGCAAAGCAGUUAGCUAGGUAAUGCUCUGUUCAGCUGUAGUGGGACUAGGGCAAAGCAGUUAGCUAGGUAAUGCUCUGUUCAGCUGUAGUGGGACUAGGGCAGAGCAGUUAGCUAGGUAAUGCUCUGUUCAGCUGUAGUGGGACUAGGGCAAAGCAGUUAGCUAGGUAAUGCUCUGUUCAGCUGUAGUGGGACUAGGGCAAAGCAGUUAGCUAGGUAAUGCUCUGUUCAGCUGUAGUGGGACUAGGGCAGAGCAGUUAGCUAGGUUACUGCUCUGUUCAGCUGUAGUGGGACUAGGGCAAAGCAGUUAGCUAGGUUACUGCUCUGUUCAGCUGUAGUGGGACUAGGGCAAAGCAGUUAGCUAGGUUACUGCUCUGUUCAGCUGUAGUGGGACUAGGGCAAAGCAGUUAGCUAGGUAAUGCUCUGUUCAGCUGUAGUGGGACUAGGGCAAAGCAGUUAGCUAGGUAAUGCUCUGUUCAGCUGUAGUGGGACUAGGGCAAAGCAGUUAGCUAGGUAAUGCUCUGUUCAGCUGUAGUGGGACUAGGGCAAAGCAGUUGGCUAGGUAAUGCUC